CAGGUGGCGUCGUCCCGGGUGAGCACCUCGUCGCCGAGGUGGUCGCCGUCGGCGUACCCGCGGGCGAGCGCCUGGCCGCCGUACUUGCCGUCGGUCAGCUCCUCCACCUUGCCGUGCGCGACCAGCAGGACCUGGUCGAUCGGGCUGCCGCCCUCGACCAGGGUCUGUCCGGCCUCGUACUCGUGCCGGGUGAACCGGCCGGCGAGCAGCUCCAGCAGGUCCGCGUCCUGGAUACCGCGCAGCGCCGGGAUCUCGCGCAGCGUCAGCGGCAGGACCCUGACCUCCGCGCCGGUCUGGACGAAGGCCAGCCGGCCGCGCCCGGCCGCGUGGGUCAGGCGCCGGUUGACCCGGUAGGUGCCGCCGGACACCGGCACCCACGGCAGCUGCCGGAGCAGCCAGCGCGAGGAGAUGUCCUGCGUCUGCGGCACGGUCUUGGUGGUGGUGGCCAGAUUGCGUGCGGCCGCCGUGCUCAGGCUCUGCUGCGUUGCCGC
rnacentral:antisense_RNA from 1 species